GGGGGAUCUGGCUGGCACGUCUGUCACCCUAAUCUGGCUCGCUAGGUGGGUGACCCCUUCCUCAAACACAGCCCCAAAUGCGUUGCACCCAAAGCUGCGCGCCUGAGUCAAAGACAAUGGGCUCCCCCUGGACAGAGAUGGACUUUCUUUAUUGCUUGGUGGAGGUUCUACUAUGAGCUGCGCUCCCCUGCUAGAACUUUCAAACAAGCGCUCAAAGAUCCAUAAUCUGUUGUUGAACAGGGCUUACUUUCAUUUCUUU
rnacentral:snRNA from 1 species